rnacentral:rRNA from 1 species
UACGAAGGGUGCAAGCGUUACUCGGAAUUACUGGGCGUAAAGCGUGCGUAGGUGGUGAGUUAAGUCUGUCGUGAAAGCCCCGGGCUCAACCUGGGAAUGGCGAUGGAUACUGGCUCGCUAGAGUGCGGUAGAGGAGAGUGGAAUUCCCCGGUGUAGCAGUGAAAUUCGUAGAUAUCGGGGAGGAACACCGGUGGCGAAGGCGGCGAUCUGGGGACGUUACUGACGCUGAGGAGCGAAAGCGUGGGGAGCGAACAGG